UAGCCCCGGCAAACUAUGUGCCAGCAGCCGCGGUAAUACAUAGGGGGCGAGCGUUAUCCGGAAUUAUUGGGCGUAAAGGGUGCGUAGGCGGUUUAAUAAGUCUAUAGUUUAAUUUCAGUGCUUAACACUGUCCUGCUAUAGAAACUAUUAGACUAGAGUGAGAUAGAGGCAAGUGGAAUUCCAUGUGUAGCGGUAAAAUGCGUAAAUAUAUGGAGGAACACCAGAGGCGUAGGCGGCUUGCUGGGUCUUUACUGACGCUGAGGCACGAAAGCGUGGGGAGCAAACAGGAUUAGAUACCCUGGUAGUCCACGCCGUAAACGAUGAGUACUAAGUGUCGGGAUUACUCGGUACUGAAGUUAACACAUUAAGUACUCCGCCUGAGUAGUACGUACGCAAGUAUGAAACUUAAAGGAAUUGACGGGACUCCGCACAAGCGGUGGAUCAUGUUGUUUAAUUCGAAGAUACACGAAAAACCUUACCAGGUCUUGACAUACUCUGCAAAGCUAUAGCAAUAUAGUGGAGGUUAUCAGAGAUACAGGUGGUGCAUGGUU
rnacentral:rRNA from 1 species